rnacentral:rRNA from 1 species
UACAGGGGGGGCAAGCGUUGUCCGGAAUUACUGGGCGUACAGCGCGCGCAGGCGGUCCACUACGUGCCGUGUGACAAACGUCGGCUUAACCGACGGAGGCCAGGGUACACGGGUGAACUUGAGGCAGAGAGAGGGAUGCGGAAUUCCAGGUGUAGCGGUGAAAUGCGUAGAUAUCUGGAGGAACACCGGUGGCGAAGGCGGCAUCCUGGACCGGUAUUGACGCUGAGGCGCGAAAGCCAGGGGAGCAAACGGG